rnacentral:rRNA from 1 species
CCUACGGGAGGCAGCAGUAAGGAAUACUGGUCAAUGGACGCAAGUCUGAACCAGCCAUGCCGCGUGAAGGAUGAAGGUCCUCUGGAUUGUAAACUUCUUUUAUAUGGGAAGAAACCACUUUUAUCUAAAGGUGUUGACGGUACCAUAGGAAUAAGCACCGGCUAACUCCGUGCCAGCAGCCGCGGUAAUACG